rnacentral:rRNA from 1 species
AUUCCAGCUCCAAUAGUGUAUAUUAAAGUUGUUGCAGUUAAAAAGCUCGUAGUUGGAUUUCUGGCGGGAGCGAUCGGUCCUUCACUCAGUGUUGGAACCUGAUUGUCUCCUGCCAUCCAUGGAGAAAACUUAUCUGGCAUUAAGUUGUCGGGUAGGCAAUCUCCAUCUUUUACUGUGAAAAAAUUAGAGUGUUCAAAGCAGGCUUAUGCCGUUGAAUAUAUUAGCAUGGAAUAAUAAGAUAGGACUAUGGUACUAUUUUGUUGGUCUGUGCACCAUGGUAAUGAUUAACAGGGACAGCCAGGGGCACUCGUAUUCCGCCGAGAGAGGUGAAAUUCUCAGACCAGCGGAAGACGAACCACUGCGAAAGCAUUUGCCAGGGAUGUUUUCAUCG